GCCAACUUAGCUCAUCCGGUAGAGCAGCGCCCUCGUAACGCGCAGGUGAUGUGUUCGAGUCACAUAGUUGGCU
rnacentral:tRNA from 1 species